UACGUAGGUGGCGAGCGUUGUCCGGAUUUACUGGGCGUAAAGAGCGCGCAGGCGGUCGUUCAAGUCGCGUGUGAAAGCCCCCGGCUCAACUGGGGAGGGUCACGCGAUACUGAUCGACUCGAAGGCAGGAGAGGGAAGUGGAAUUCCCGGUGUAGUGGUGAAAUGCGUAGAUAUCGGGAGGAACACCAGCGGCGAAGGCGACUACCUGGCCUGUUCUUGACGCUGAGGCGCGAAAGCUAGGGGAGCAAACGGG
rnacentral:rRNA from 1 species